rnacentral:rRNA from 1 species
UACAGAGGUCUCAAGCGUUGUUCGGAUUCAUUGGGCGUAAAGAGCGUGUAGGCGGCUCGGUAAGUCCGCUGUGAAAGUCCAGGGCUCAACCCUGGAAUGCCGGUGGAAACUGUCGAGCUCGAGUCCGGAAGAGGCGAGUGGAAUUCCUGGUGUAGCGGUGAAAUGCGCAGAUAUCAGGAGGAACACCAAUGGCGAAGGCAGCUCGCUGGGACGGUACUGACGCUGAGACGCGAAAGCGUGGGGAGCGAACAGG